UUCCCACGCCGGGAAUCGAACCCAGGUCAUGGGUGAAAGCCAGAUAUCUUAGCCACUAGACCAUGUGCAA